UAUGCAUCGUGCUUUUUCUGUUAUUUGUGAACGUAUCCGUUAUAAUGGUUGAUUCGCUAUUCCACGGCAUGUUCCCGCCGAAAUUGGACUACGGUUACAUUAAUAUGAUUGUAAUAUGAAUAUUAAUCAAUUAAUAUGAUAUCUGGUCUUAUCAACUUAACCACUUGGUUGUUUAUUGCUUCAGAAAAGCACUUAAAUGUAAGGGCUUUUUGGACAACUGUUCGGUAGAAAAGCGUUGAUAUCGUAGUUCAGUCAGUGAAUAUCUGAUAGGUCUUACAGGCGCCACAGACACCUCUGUCAGUCAUUUGUAAAGAGGAGCAGCACGGCAGCUGGAUGAGUGCGAGCCCUUCAAAUUAAAAAUAGUGAUGGUGAUCUUGUCAAUGCUGAGAUUUAAAUGCAUCAACAGCCAUUACAUCUGUCUGGAUCAGGAUUGAACAAGAAUCAGACAGCAAGGGUUGUCAGAUCAGAAACGUAAUAACACAAACAUAAGAAACUUCACAGGGCUGUGACAGUGACAGUAUUUUACCACCGCGAUGGUAAUGCACCAAUUCACCACUGUGGUGCGGUGGUUAUAGAAUGUGUUUGUGUGAGGGGGAGGCAGCAAUUUCUUUUUCCGCCGGUGGGUGCUCAUCACAACCUCAAGCUUUACUUCGCAACGCCAGGUGCUCUAGAGUCUGGAGCGCUCAAAGGCUUUGAAGAGGUGGAAAGUGGCGCAGUCACGUUUUCGUGUGAAUUGUGAAGUUAAAGGCAGAUCACCGUGCAACUUGGUGAAAUCAUGUGUCUUUCCAGAUGGCCAAAUCUGUACCCCUCAAAAAAACUUUAUUAAAUGCCAUGAUAGACAAGAUGAGCCUUAAGAGGAGAUUUGGGAAGAUGCUGUUUCAUAAGUCUUUGCUUUGCCAGAUUAUCUGUGGUUGGGGUGUCUGCCAACGUGAUGCCUUGCUGGUCUGGUUUGAGUUUGAAGUCUCUCACAGACAGUCCAGAAGGUCUGGAGUCCAUCUUAGCUUUCAUUGAUGCUGUCAUCAUUUUUUAAGUGCAGGAGCCAGAAUGGAUGGGUGGUGGUGGCCAUAAGAAGACUGUCAACUAAACUAGGGUGACCAUACGUGCCAUUCUUCCCGGACCCGUCCUGUCCAGUCUUUUGGAACUCGUAUUUGUCGACCGCAUACGUCACAGAGGAUUAUUAUUAUUAUUACAGAAAAGCAACCGUUACAUUUUAAGGUAAGAAUGAAACUACGAUUAUGUUUUUUACUGAAUGGCGUAUGCGGUCAACAAAUACGACUUCCGGAAGACGCACCGAAAUCCUGGACGGGAUGCGUCCGGGAAGAAUGGCACGUAUGGUCACCCUAACUAAACCAACAACAAAAUUCAUAUUUGCAGUUAUAAAUAAAAUGACUUUUAAACCUGAUUUUGUUUUCUUAUUUUAUGAUUUCAUUCUAUAUUUGGAAUAUUCAAUUUUUGCACUACUAACUGGAAACUGUUUGAAAGAAUGUG